rnacentral:tRNA from 4 species
GGCGCGGUAGCAAAGCGGUUAUGCAGUGGAUUGCAAAUCCAUCCAGGGCGGUUCGACUCCGCCCCGCGCCUCCA